rnacentral:rRNA from 1 species
GGGGGGCAGCAGUGGAGAAUAUUGCACAAUGGGCGCAAGCCUGAUGCAGCCAUGCCGCGUGUAUGAAGAAGGCCUUCGGGUUGUAAAGUACUUUCAGCGGGGAGGAAGGCGAUAAGGUUAAUAACCUUGGCGAUUGACGUUACCCGCAGAAGAAGCACCGGCUAACUCCGUGCCAGCAGCCGCGGUAAUACGGAGGGUGCAAGCGUUAAUCGGAAUUACUGGG